UCGCUUGCUGUGCCUGUUGCAAGACAAGAUGUAUCCGCAUCCUGAAUACUUGUUUCCUCCAAGUAAUCAUGAGCCUUGAAUUCACUGAUCUCUCUAAAUGAUUCAUCUCUCCUUAUGACACCUUGAUCCUGGUUUCCCGGUGCUUCUUGGGAAGAGUUAUCCAUCCGAGGAACAGUCACAGUUGGUUGAACAACUUGUUCCUGGUCUACAGGGUUCUGUCCAUAUGGCUGAGGGUUCUCAUCAGUAGCAACAAACUCAGGCUCCAUGAGCAUCCUUGCCUGGCCAAAAUCAGCCAACUUGAGAA
rnacentral:misc_RNA from 1 species